rnacentral:tRNA from 1 species
GGAGAGAUGCCGGAGUGGUCGAUCGGGGCGGUCUCGAAAACCGUUGAACGCUUGUCGUUCCAAGGGUUCGAAUCCCUUUCUCUCCG